CACUUCAUUUCACCUAUUCUCUCGCCAUUCGACCGAACGAGAGAGUGCGUGAAAUGAAGAGA
rnacentral:pre_miRNA from 1 species